UUAGCAUCCUCAAUAUCUUUAUAGAUAUGUCCUUUAAAUUUUAAAAUCAAGACAAUCUUCCUUCAAUUAUGAAAGAUAAACCUAGAGUCAUCGUCUAUGCAAACAAAAUCACUAUGAGUUACAUUUGUAUGUUUUCUCAUAAGAUGGCUUAUCUUUGAAAGGGGUUACCAAUCUUUCUUUAUUUCUUAUGCAUUUGAUUAAGCAUAUGGAGGUUAAUUGACUUCAUUAUUUAUUAAUAAUUGUGAUGGCUAAUAUUGAAAGUCAGCUUGAUUGGAUUGAGGAAUACAAGGUAUUAAUCCUCGGUGUGUCUGUGUGAGUGUUGCCAAAAGAGAUUAACAUUUGAGUCAGUGGGGUGGGGAAGGCAGAUCCACCCUUCAUCUGUUGGGCACAAUCUAAUCAGCUUCCAGCGAAUAUAAAGCAGGCAGAAAAACGUGAAAAGGAGAUAUGGGCCUAGGCUCCCAGCCUACAACUUUCUCAUGUGCUGGAUCCUUCCUGCCCUGGAAUAUUGGACUCCAAGUUCUUCAGUUUUGGGACUCACACUGGCUCUUCUUGCUCCUCAGCUUGCAGACAGCCUAUUGUGGGACCUUGUGAUCGUGUUUCGUGCAACGGAUACAAGCAAUGAAAUUUCAACAGAAAUUUCCUGGGGUAGGAUGCAGAGUUCUUAGGAAAUCUUCUGUUUUCUUAUAAAAAAAUAUCUGGUCUGCUGUAAUUCACUCUGGAGUAAUGCCACUGCGACCUGCUGAUAAUGGCUGGUUGCACAACAGUUGAUCCAGAAGGACCUUGGCCAGGAUGAUUUGGCAGUGGAGCCAAAAGGAGUGCCACAAAUAUUGUUGCAGAAGUGAUACCAGAUUUGGAAUAAAAUAUUCCCCCCCCACAAAUGUUUCUCAGAUGAUGUUGUAUCAUCUUAUUUUAUCAGACUCAUCUCUGUUGUAUCAGACUCAUUGUAUCAACACAAUUGUAGAUUCACUCUCAACAUUCAUUUCAGGCAAACUAGUUUUCUUAGAGUGUCUCCAGAGUUAACAAAGAUUGUAAAGCAAUGGAAGCCAAUCAAGUCACAAUAAAGAACCCCAUUCUGAUCUGUUUGUUUAUGUAUUAAAGAGAAUAGCAUCCUCAGAAUCAUUUUUCAUUUGUGUAUAGCCAUACAAUCUAAGAAUCAAUAAAAAUUUUUGCACAUAUAUGCAAAUAUAAACUUAAUUCAUGUUGGUAAUUUUAAAUAUUGAAAUAGUAGCCUUGUAUACUAUUUUUUAGGCGUGGUCUUGUGGUUUUUGGUUGUUAGUGUUGUUUUCUCAUUUGAAUGCAGACUUUUUGUGGUUGUAUUCCCCAAUUUAUUCUUUUCUCACUUAAUGGUAAGAAGUGGGGUUUUGUGGUGAUUAUAAUUUUUUAACUAUUAAUACAAGUCUAUAUAAAAUAACUGGAAGAGCA
rnacentral:lncRNA from 1 species